GCUGUGUCUCAAUUCAGGGUCUGCAUCCUACGUCGGCCGGAUUCGUCGGCCGGUUACGUCACAGCGCCGCGACUAGGCCUGUCCCAAUUCGAAGACUCCUUCAAAUGCGGUCGACGAAUCCGGCCUUCUUUUCGCCUGAAUGAAGGAUGGGUCCGGUGUAUCCUUCAAUAGGUAGCAUUUCCCAAGAUGCCUUGUGGGCCGGCCAGCAGAAAAACUUAAAAACAAUGGCGGACAGUGAAGUGGGAGCUGUCGGAGAGGAUUGCGCAUAUAAAUGAACAAAAGAGAAAACCAGGGAAUUUAUUAAGCUUAGGGCGGAGAUGGACCACAUGAUCACCGGAGCAAAGUAUUCGGCGGCUGUGGCAUGGAGACUAUUCUGGAGAAAAUGGGCAUCCAGGGGAAGGUGCCAGCGAUGACCAGCUUCUGGAUCUGAUCAGGGAGGACAUGAGGCUGCAGAGGGAGGCAGAGCAGCAGAGGGCCCAGGAGAGAAGGAAGAACUUUGACAGCUUUUUACUUUGCUAGAAAAAAAUGGUUAAUAAAGAUUAAACAUGUACAUAUAAAAGAAAUAUCUAAAUAAAAUCAGUUCUGCAUUAAA